GUUAGAAAACUUAGUGGAGUUAACAAUGUUUACAAACGCUGUUUCGUUGACAACAAGCCGCUGCGAAGACGAAGUCGAUUAAAGCAAGACAGAUAUGACAGCAGUGGCAGUUGCCCCAGAUGUUGGGGAUUUUCCCAAAGUUCCUGUCCCCACCCCUAUGCCUGCAGACACAGGAUCAAAUAGUCCAGCACUGAGAAAAGAAAAGGGUGUCGUCUCCAAACAAGAAAAUGGAGGAAGUCCGCUCCCAGACUUGCGAUCCAGUGAUAAUUAUGUCGACAGAAGCAAACCAUUGCCAACCUCCCUGCAGAGUGAUUUUAUUCCAGAAGACAUCUUGAAUGCACUCACACAACUCCCUAAACCAGUCAGCAAAGAUAAGCUUAAAGCUCCCGGAAAGGCCAAAUCCAGUUUUCCUACAGAUCAAAAGGCCAUUAAGAGUGGACCACCAGCCAACGUAUGGAACUUUCCAGGCAGGAGAAGGAAAUUCCAACAUUUGACAGAUCAACCUGUUUCUGUAACGGGGGCAGGAAGAGAUAUAUCUUUCCUCUAUGAUGUUGCUCUUAACGGAUCCAAUGACCCAAAGCCGUUAUCAAAUGACCCAAGUGGAAAACGUGCUAUUGAGAAACAGUCACAGAGUCAUGGCAAUAAGGGUAUGGCUGUUCCUAACACACUGGUCCCAUCUGAAUAUCAUGUUGUUAAAGCAAAGGGUGUCCAGCAUUUAGAAUUCCAAGAAGAGAAAUUUAGUACACACCUCAAGAAUGAGGAUGAGGCUCCAGUUGUGUUUCCAUCACUUAAACCGACAAGCCGAUAUGAAGUGAUGCAGCUGAAAGAAUCUCUUCAAGCCAUGCUGAACAAGGCUGGGGUCAACGACGAGGGAGUAGAGGUCAAAGGUCCCACACAGAUGCAUAAUCUCCUAGAACUGGUGAAAAAGGAGCAGAAUAUCUACAAUAUUAUUUUUCAUGAGCUCAUCAGACAGGUGAGUGUGGAAUGCAUUGAGAGAGGUGAACUAUUAUCAUCAGUCAGAGAACUCUACAAUAAACUCCUUGAUAAAGUUCCUCGCCAGAUCAAAAGUUUGCACCAGGAAGUAAUGGCCCAGAGAGCUCUUGACAGAAGGCUAACAGAAGAACUGUUUAGAUUCAAGUCAACUAUCUCAGAUCUCACAAAUGAGCUAUCUGAUGUAAGGGAGCAUGACAAGGUUGUAACUGGACAGGCCCAGCAAGCACAAGAACAGCUUGCAGCAGCUCUUGCCGAAUCAGAGAAAAGUGCCAGUCUGCUUGGAGAGUAUCAUGAGCUUUAUGAGCUUCAGAGGAGGAGACUUGAGAAGCAGGUGUUUCAUCUAAUCUCUGAGAGAGAUCUAUGGAGUAAUGCUGCAUACUCACUAGCAUUAAAGGUCACUGAAGCCAACUCGUUGACCACUGCAAGAAGAUUGCAUGUCUGUGAGAAGGCCUGGUCAAAACUGACCCAUCACUUUACGAUUGUACUGAGUGACAGAGACACAGUUCAGCUCUCACAGCUACAGGUUCUGGUAGAGCGCCAUCGUUUGUUGAUGAUAGAUUUCAGCAAAGAACUCAAACAAGAAGACAUCACCUCCAGGGAAAGGCUUGCAUUGAUCCGAUCAGGGAUCAAGAAAUGGAUGGAUCUCUUCUAUGGUACAGUUGUUUACACAGUGGAAAUGAAUAAAAAGACAAGGUUUUGUCUUAGCGGGCAACUUGAAGCCAGCAUUGUGGAGUCAGACUUUAUGUCUGGGCGUCAAUCUUCCAGAGCAAGUGAUAAGAUUAAUACCAUCCUUCAAGCUCCUAGCAGAGAAAUGAUCCAAGCUUUAUAUGAGGACAUCCGUCUAUGGGAAGAGAACCUGAACAAGGAAGUGGAGAAGUUUGGUGGAGAUAUUCUCCUGGGUCACGAGGAGAGUCUCUAUGAAAUCAAGAAGCAGACCGAUCAGUGGACAGAGACGGCCCUCAAGAUCUUCAGUCGGCACAUGCCUACCGAUGGUUCCGAGUACCCUGACCAUGAAAAGCUGGUGGAAAUGAAUGUGAUUCUGUUUGCUUUUAUAACAGGUGUGUGAGGCUAUGUGUAAGCAGCUUCACAUAAGAGUGAAUGGAGAAAAUGGCACUGCUAAAGGAUUCAUUCAAAUCACCAAUGCCCUAGAGAGUUGGGACACCAAACUGAACAGUAUCCUGAAUGGGGGCGCUAUGCCGAUGGAAGCAGAAUGGCUGCGGCUUUAUGAACUCUUCUCUGAUUGGAUAACUACCAUCAAUGAUGUCGAGAAAAAUAUUGGCUCCGAGCAGUCGGAGGAUGACAAGGCUGAAGGCAAACCUUUCAAUCCGAUGAUCCAGGAAGAUGUAUUUAGACUUGCUCAGAAGUGGGUGGCAGCAACGAUCAAUGGAAUCGAUAGCCAGGAUUCUAAACUCCUUGAACAGAUGACAAGAAACAUCAAUGGCCAAGAUGUUCCGCUGAUGAUACUUGGGGACCCUGCCUACCCACUGCUGCCAUGGCUAAUGAAAGGUUUUGCCGAUAAUGGUCGUCUGACUGAAGAUCAGACUAACUUUAACUACAGGCUCAGCAGGGCGAGAAUGGUCAUCGAAGGUAGUUUUGGUAGACUGAAGGGGCGAUGGAGAUGCUUAUUGAAGCGCAAUGACAGCGCUCUUGAGAACGUAACUAAUAUUGUUGGAGCGUGUUGUACCUUGCAUAACCUUUGUCAGAUGCAGUCCGAUGAGCCAGAUGACGAGUGGCUUGAUGUUGCUCAUGAAUUACGAGAGUUUCAGCCACCUUGUCCUUUGCCAAAUCAAAGGCCUGCACCAUCAGCAUCUGUAGUGCGUGAUGCUCUUGUUCAGUAUGUUAGGUAACUUUUUUUAUGCAUUUCUUCAACCACUGUUAAUGAUAUUCCACAGGUGUAAACAGAGCCUCAAAUGAACUCAUUCAUUCGGUUAGUCAAUGACCCCCCCCCCCCCCCCCCCCCAACCCCCGCCCUCAUGAUUGAAAAUGUUAUGUAGCCUCUGUUUUGUAAUGUAAAACAGUUAUCAAGAAUAGAGUUUUCUCUCUUGGACAUUUCUCUUUGUUUUUCCUUUUUAAUUAUUAAUUUAUGUUAAUCAUUCAUAAUAGACUAUUGAGAAAAUGCAAAUCUGUUAUUUUUUUAUAAUCCAUUUUAAAGUAGAUGGUUGGCCUUUUUGUAAUGAAUAAUCUUUUUUUUUUUUAAUAAUAUGCUUUUAUUUCACCAAGUCAUUUGUUUCAUAUUUUACUAUACAGAGUGAUGAAAAAGUAGUAAAUUUAAGGUAGGCCUAUGGCAGAUAAGAUUAUCAGGGCCAGAAGAUUGUCAAUUAAUUAGAAUGAUUUUUUUUUCUUCUUUGUAUCAGUCUCUUUCCCAAUCCAUGGAUACAGUAAGACUGGGUUUAUGUUAUUGUCAACCAUAGCUGGGGGCUUUAGGUAUGCAUAGCAGAGGUUAAUGUAUGCACUGACAUAGCAAUGCAUCUGACCAGUAGCAUAGCACACUGCAAUCUUCUUUUCAUCUUGUGUUUCUUCCCUGUUAUGACUGACAUAAGUUUAAGUGUUUUAAAACCGAAUAUUCAAAUUCAAAUUCAUUUGCCUAUAUGAUCUACAAGUGAUGAACACAUUUUAACCAUCUUAUCCUGUGCCCAUUCAAAAGCCAGUUUUGUGUUAUGUUAUUUCAUUUGAGGUAAAAUGCAGUUGUAUUGUUAUUUUUUCAAGCAAAUAUAGUGCCAGAAGCAUUAUUUUUUUUCUUGUUGUCCAUGUGACUUUCUUGCUAUUUCAUCAAUGCGAUAAUUUAUAUCAAUCAUUAAUCUUAAAAGAUGCACUUUAAACUUGACACCAGCAUGCCUCAUCAUGGGAAGAUGAAUUAAUUUUGUUUAGGGUUAUGUAGGUCAAAGGACACAGAGGUUAAUACACAUGAAACAUUACCUAUUUGUAGUUCUUUUAUCAUAAUAUCUUGUACUAUUUGCUUCUUGUAUUCAAUGUGCUAACAAGUAUUCAUUUGGAGAGGAAUUUCAAACAAAGGUUACAGAGGUAAAUGUAUAAUGUAUAUAAAACAAUACCAGAUAAACAUGAUUUAUCUUCAAACCCAUGUGGAUAAGUAGUAAUUGCUUGGGGGCAGGCGCAAGUGGUCAUUAUCUCUUUAGCUAUGUGAUUAUAUUGGAUUGUAUUCAACCACUAUGAAAUAGCUGUUUUGUACAUAUAUGUCGUUUUUUCUUCUCUAACCACUUUUAGUUCAAAAUUGUUAGGUAUUUUCUGUGUAUAUGUUAAAUACAACAUGCCUCCGAUAAUGAAUAAAAAGAAGAAAAAACAUCAAGAA